UACGUAGGGGGCAAGCGUUGUCCGGAAUCAUUGGGCGUAAAGAGCGUGUAGGCGGUUCGGUAAGUCGGCUGUGAAAGUCCAGGGCUCAACCCUGGGAUGCCGGUCGAUACUGCCGGACUAGAGUUCGGAAGAGGCGAGUGGAAUUCCACGUGUAGCGGUGAAAUGCGUAGAGAUGUGGAGGAACACCGAUGGCGAAGGCAGCCUUCUGGGCCAACACUGACGCUCAUGCACGAAAGCGUGGGGAGCAAACAGG
rnacentral:rRNA from 1 species